rnacentral:rRNA from 1 species
UUGAUGGAGAGUUUGAUCCUGGCUCAGGACGAACGCUGGCGGCGUGCUUAACACAUGCAAGUCGAACGAUG